rnacentral:lncRNA from 1 species
CCACUGUCUGUUGAUGUCUGCCACUGGAUUAGCACUGAGAAAACCAAUUCAAGCAAUAAGAAACCAGCUGUCAGGAAGUGUUUUUCCUUGGAGGUGAAUUGCUGGAUGAGUGGAUGGUCACAGAUCUUGCAGUAUACAGAAUGCAAGAUUGAUGCUUCCAGAGCAAGAAAACUAACACAGUGUGGUAGGGUCAAAUUGUCAUGCAACUAGCCUAGACUCACCAGCGAUGUCUCCUGAAUUUUUGUUCAAGGAAAUAAGACCUUAUGAAGUUAUAACAACCUACCUCUCUUCUCAAGUGCCAGAAAACUUGAUUUAUGGAG